ACAGAGGGUGCGAGCGUUAAUCGGAAUUACUGGGCGUAAAGCGUGCGCAGGCGGCUUUGCAAGACAGAUGUGAAAUCCCCGGGCUUAACCUGGGAACUGCAUUUGUGACUGCAUUGCUAGAGUAUGGGAGAGGGAAGCGGAAUUUCUGGUGUAGCAGUGAAAUGCGUAGAUAUCAGAAGGAACAUCAGUGGCGAAGGCGGCUUCCUGGACCAAUACUGACGAUCAGGUGCGAAAGCGUGGGGAGCAAACAGGA
rnacentral:rRNA from 1 species